UACGAAGGUCCCAAGCGUUAUCCGGAUUUAUUGGGUUUAAAGGGUGCGUAGGCGGUCUAUUAAGUCAGUGGUGAAAGCCCCAAGCUCAACUUGGGAACUGCCAUUGAUACUGAUGGACUUGAGUACAUUUGAGGUGGGCGGAAUGUGUCAUGUAGCGGUGAAAUGCUUAGAUAUGACAUAGAACACCCAUUGCGAAGGCAGCUCACUACGGGAAUAUUGACACUGAGGCACGAAAGCGUGGGGAUCAAACAGG
rnacentral:rRNA from 1 species